rnacentral:rRNA from 1 species
GCAGUCGAGCGAGCUUGCCUAGAUGAAUUUGGUGCUUGCACCAGAUGAAACUAGAUACAAGCGAGCGGCGGACGGGUGAGUAACACGUGGGUAACCUGCCCAAGAGACUGGGAUAACACCUGGAAACAGAUGCUAAUACCGGAUAACAACACUAGACGCAUGUCUAGAGUUUAAAAGAUGGUUCUGCUAUCACUCUUGGAUGGACCUGCGGUGCAUUAGCUAGUUGGUAAGGUAACGGCUUACCAAGGCAAUGAUGCAUAGCCGAGUUGAGAGACUGAUCGGCCACAUUGGGACUGAGACACGGCCCAAACUCCUACGGGAGGCAGCAGUAGGGAAUCUUCCACAAUGGACGCAAGUCUGAUGGAGCAACGCCGCGUGAGUGAAGAAGGGUUUCGGCUCGUAAAGCUCUGUUGGUAGUGAAGAAAGAUAGAGGUAGUAACUGGCCUUUAUUUGACGGUAAUUACUUAGAAAGUCACGGCUAACUACGUGCCAGCAGCCGCGGUAAUACGUAGGUGGCAAGCGUUGUCCGGAUUUAUUGGGCGUAAAGCGAGUGCAGGCGGUUCAAUAAGUCUGAUGUGAAAGCCUUCGGCUCAACCGGAGAAUUGCAUCAGAAACUGUUGAACUUGAGUGCAGAAGAGGAGAGUGGAACUCCAUGUGUAGCGGUGGAAUGCGUAGA